rnacentral:rRNA from 1 species
AGUCGGCCGAGGCGGCAAUGAAUCGACAAUGCAGUCGAGCGGCAGCGGGAAAGUAGCUUGCUACUUUCUGCCGGCGAGCGGCGGACGGGUGAGUAAUGCCUGGGAAAUUGCCCAGUCGAGGGGGAUAACAGUUGGAAACGACUGCUAAUACCGCAUACGCCCUACGGGGGAAAGCAGGGGACCUUCGGGCCUUGCGCGAUUGAUAUGCCAGGUGGGAUUAGCUAGUUGGUGAGGUAAUGGCUCACCAAGGCGACGAUCCCUAGCUGGUCUGAGAGGAUGAUCAGCCACACUGGAACUGAGACACGGUCCAGACUCCUACGGGAGGCAGCAGUGGGGAAUAUUGCACAAUGGGGGAAACCCUGAUGCAGCCAUGCCGCGUGUGUGAAGAAGGCCUUCGGGUUGUAAAGCACUUUCAGCGAGGAGGAAAGGUCAGUAGCUAAUAUCUGCUGACUGUGACGUUACUCGCAGAAGAAGCACCGGCUAACUCCGUGCCAGCAGCCGCGGUAGG